rnacentral:rRNA from 1 species
CAAUAGCGUGUAUUAAAGUUGUUGCAGUUAAAAAGCUCGUAGUUGGAUUUCUGUUGGGAGCGAUCGGUCUGGCGCUUAGCGCGAGUACUUGCAUCGUCUCCGGCCAUCCUUGGGGAGAGUCUGUCUGGCAUUAAGUUGUCGGGCAGAGGAUCCUCAUCGUUUACUGUGAAAAAAUUAGAGUGUUCAAAGCAGGCUUAUGCCGUUGAAUAUAUUAGCAUGGAAUAAUAAGAUAGGACUUUGGUACUAUUUUGUUGGUUUGCGCACCAAAGUAAUGAUUAAUAGGGACAGUUGGGGGUAUUCGUAUUCCGUUGUCAGAGGUGAAAUUCUUGGAUUUACGGAAGACGAACUACUGCGAAAGCAUUUACCAAGGAUGUUUUCAUUAA